GCUGGGCAUUGUGCUACACACCCGUAAUUCCUGCUACCCGAGAGGCUGAGGUUGGUGGACGUCUUGAGCUCAGGAGUGCUCAGCUAUAGUGUGCUAAGCCAAUUGGUUGUCCAUAGCCAAGUUCAGCAUCAAAAUAGUGAACCCUAGGAGCAGGGAGAAUUAUGAGGGACCAUGGGCAUGAGUUUGCCUAAGGAGGGGCUAAAUUGCCCAGAUGGGAAAAAAACAGAGCAGGUCAAAGCUCCUGUGUCAAUUACUAGGGGAAUCAAGUCUGUGAAUGGUUGCUAUACUUGUAGCCUGGGGGAGAUUGGGAGACCUAGUCUCAA
rnacentral:SRP_RNA from 1 species